GAUGAAGAACGUAGCGAAAUGCGAUAAGUAAUGUGAAUUGCAGAAUUCAGUGAAUCAUCGAAUCUUUGAACGCAUCUUGCGCUCCUUGGUAUUCUGAGGAGCAUGCCUGUUUGAGUGUCAUUAAAUUCUCAACUACACUGACUUUGAAUUGGUGUGGCUUGGAUUUGGGGGGAAAAUUGUUGUGGGCUUUUUGUAUAGUCUGCUCCCCUGAAAUUGAUUAGCGGUACCUUUGUGGAACUGUCUACAGGUGUGAUAAUUAUCUACAUCUUAGACAUCUGCUGGAAUGCUGCUUUCUAAACCUUACUUGUAUUGACAAUCUUGACCUCAAAUCAGGUAGGGCUACCCGCUGAACUUAAGCAUAUCAAUAAGCGGAGGA
rnacentral:misc_RNA from 1 species